rnacentral:rRNA from 1 species
AACGAACGCUGGCGGCAUGCCUAACACAUGCAAGUCGAACGAGACCUUCGGGUCUAGUGGCGCCCGGGUGCGUAACGCGUGGGAACCUGCCCUUAGGUUCGGAAUAACUCCCCGAAAGGGGUGCUAAUACCGGAUAAUGUCUUCGGACCAAAGAUUUAUCGCCUUUGGAUGGGCCCGCGUUGGAUUAGCUAGUUGGUAGGGUAAAAGCCUACCAAGGCGACGAUCCAUAGCUGGUCUGAGAGGAUGAUCAGCCACACUGGGACUGAGACACGGCCCAGACUCCUACGGGAGGCAGCAGUGGGGAAUAUUGGACAAUGGGCGAAAGCCUGAUCCAGCAAUGCCGCGUGAGUGAUGAAGGCCUUAGGGUUGUAAAGCUCUUUUACCCGGGAUGAUAAUGACAGUACCGGGAGAAUAAGCCCCGGCUAACUCCGUG